UGCCUGGUCCUGCCCCUGAGGAGUUUCCCUCAUUGCGUGAAAACGAGGAUGAAAUCUCUGCUGCUUUUCCUGUCCCUGUUCUCUGCCCCCUCCUGUGUCCUGUCCCAGGUGCAGCUGGUCCAGACCGGCCCGGGGACGGUGAAGCCGGGAGCGACCCUCAGUAUCACCUGUAAAGUCUCUGGAGUCUCCGUCAGUGACUACUACUGGAACUGGAACCGGCAGCCCCCUGGGAAAGGGCUGGAGUGGAUGGGGUUUAUCCGCAGCACUGCACAGGGGGGGACCACAGAGUACAACGCGGCUCUCAAACCUCGUGUCACCAUCACCAGGGACACCUCGAAAAACGAAGUUUAUCUCCAGCUCGGCUCGCUGACAGCUGCAGACACCAGCACCUAUUACUGUGCCAGAUACACAGUGACACAGAGCAAAGCCGGGACUGGCACAAAAAGGGGAAGCGAAUUUCUAAUCAGCCGACAUGAACAUUCAGUUAGUGCUGUAGGGGAUGAGACAGACGAGGCAUUGCCGACAGGGGGAUCUCAGCAGCCACCCAUGUUUCUCCCCCUGCAUCCCACCCUCCCAGCCCCUUCCACCAAGGGAUUUUACAUGCUCCGCUUCCCAGCGCUUCCCCCUGAAAUGGGCACCGGGGACUCACUGAGACCGGGGUGA